UCCAUCCCUCCUUCGGGAGGGUGAAGACCUAGUGGCGAACGGGUGAGUAACACGUGAGCAACCUGUCCCGAAGACCGGGAUAACACCGGGAAACUGGUGCUAAUACCGGAUGCCCUCACCGGGCCGCAUGACCUGGUGAGGAAAUGAAUUUCGCUUCGGGAGGGGCUCGCGGGCUAUCAGCUUGUUGGUGAGGUAACGGCUCACCAAGGCAGCGACGGCUAGCUGGUCUGAGAGGACGACCAGCCACACUGGGACUGAGACACGGCCCAGACUCCUACGGGAGGCAGCAGUAGGGAAUCUUGCGCAAUGGGCGAAAGCCUGACGCAGCAACGCCGCGUGGGGGAUGAAGGCUCUCGGGUUGUAAACCCCUUUCAGCAGGGACGAAAUUGACGGUACCUGCAGAAGAAGCCCCGGCCAACUACGUGCCAGCAGCCGCGGUAAUACGUAGGGGGCGAGCGUUGUCCGGAUUCAUUGGGCGUAAAGAGCUCGUAGGCGGCUUGGCAAGUCGGAUGUGAAAACUCCAGGCUCAACCUGGAGCCGCCAUUCGAUACUGCCAUGGCUAGAGUCCGGUAGGGGAGUGUGGAAUUCCCGGUGUAGCGGUGAAAUGCGCAGAUAUCGGGAGGAACACCGAUGGCGAAGGCAGCACUCUGGGCCGGUACUGACGCUGAGGAGCGAAAGCGUGGGGAGCGAACAGGAUUAGAUACCCUGGUAGUCCACGCCGUAAACGUUGGGCACUAGGUGUGGGGCCUUAUCAACGGGUUCCGUGCCGCAGCUAACGCAAUAAGUGCCCCGCCUGGGGAGUACGGCCGCAAGGCUAAAACUC
rnacentral:rRNA from 1 species